rnacentral:misc_RNA from 1 species
AUAAGAUUAGGACUCAUUUCGGGUCCUUAAUCCUCAAACCUGUGGAAGUGAGAAGUGCUUCGGCGCCUCCGGGCGUCGAAUCUAUGCUGUUUAGCUUGUGUCUGAAGAAAAACAAAAUUUUA